GGGCAGUCUCUGAAAUCAUUUACUCCAGUGUACAAGUCAGCUCUCAGCGGUGAGAACACCAAGAAGAGAGACACGAUUAGUUCCGCAGUGGAAAAGAGAAUUUUUUAAAAAUCCUAAUUCUUCAAAUGUAGAAAUGGAACUAUUAAAUAUCCUGUAUUUAUCAGGGGGUAUUUUUGCAAUCAACUCAAACUAGAAUCAGGGAAAAUCAAAAGGAGAGGACUGUGUAUAUGCACAUGUUGGGGAUAGAGGUGAAAGUCCCUGAGAGACAGUUCUCCGGUUACGGGCUUUUCCUUUGUCCCUUAAAUCGGACAGACACUGUCCUAAACAAUGCCGCCAGGCCUGGAGCAGCGUGAAUUGCUGCCAGGGAGAUUAAAAAUAACCACCAAGGGCUGGCCCAGGAUGAUCUCGCUCAGGUCCUGGCCUCUCCUGCUCAGGUCCUGGCCUCUCCCAGGAGGCUGUGCGGCCGGCAGGAUGGAUCUUUAGCAUCUCCUACUCCUGGGCUGGCCUGUUCCUUGCCCUGGGUCCUCCCAAUGUGUUGAAUGCCUCAGCUGUCCAGAGGAGCACCACACCCAGGCCUGCCCUCCUCGGAAUGUGGCUGUGACCCGAGAGCAAUGUUUCUGCCCAUCUUUCUGUUUACUUCUCCUAAGCCUCGGUGACCUUAGCAGGAGGCUGAGGUGGGAGAACCACUUGAGCUCGUGAGUUUGACUGCAGCCUGGAGAACACGGUAAGCCUCCAUCUCAGAAAAAGAAAAAACAGGUAAAGUUAAGAUGCCCUUCCUGUCAGCUAAUCAACUAAGAGGAAAGGAAUGCUAUAAAUGAGUUCAUGCUGUCAUGUAACUAACACUUUAUUCCUCCCAUGUGGCCUGGUGUUCUAAUAUUUCAUUAAGCUAAAGGAAUAUGCUCCUUAGGAGGAAAGCUCAAAGUAAGAAAAUCUGGGGAGUUCUGGGUUUUCUCCAACCACCUGUGCCAGUCUGUUUUCCAGGAUAACAAAUGCCUGAGGCAGGUGACUAUAAGAAGAGGCCUACUCUGAGCAUCGUGGUGGACACCUGUAAUCUCAGCACCCUGGGAGGUUGAGGCAGGAGAAUUGCAAAUUUGAGACCAAUGUGGGCAACUUAGUGACUUGUACUGGAGAUUGAACCUACCCAGCGCUAGGCAGGCUCUGUGCCACUGAGCUACAUCCCUGACCCCUGCAACACACCCAUAUUUUAAAAAAUGGGCACAGGACUUGAACAGACAUUACUCCAAGUGGCAGGCGAAAACAGUAAGAGGUGGUUUGAUUCUUCCAUUUUGACUCUAGACCACAAACAAUAAAGACUUCCAAGUCUCCUUGGAUCCGUGUAACAGAAAAUUGUUCGAUGUGGUGGGCAGAAGGCCCGGAAGCUGUGGCUGGCCUGGGAGAGUGACUGGCCCGAGCUUCCCCUCCCGACCACCCUGCAGAAGAGAAGUCACCGUCCCUGCAUGGCAGAGCUGUGUUACUACCAAACACAAGUGCGAGGAAGGCUUUUUCUCUGCCAGGGUAACUGCACGGAGCCUUCACUUCUCCCUGCCGUGGACAGCCAGCCGGCCAGGCUCCUCGGAGCUCUCAGUUCGGCCUUGACCUUGGCCCCUGUCCUCGCUAACCGGGUGUGACCCAAGUUUUAGCAAGAAUCUG
ensembl:lncRNA